rnacentral:rRNA from 1 species
AGUGAACGCUGGCGGUAGGCCUAACACAUGCCAGUCGAACGGCAGCACAGUAAGAGCUUGCUCUUACUGGUGGCGAGUGGCGGACGGGUGAGGAAUACAUCGGCAUCUACUUUUUCUUGGGUGAUAACGUAGGGAAACUUACGCUAAUACCGCAUACGACCUACGGGUGAAAUCAGAGGAUCUUCGGACCUUGCGCGAUUCAAUUAGCCGAUGUCGGAUUAGCUAGUUGGCGGGGUAAAGGCCCACCAAGGCGACGAUCCGUAGCUGGUCUGAGAGGAUGAUCAGCCACACUGGAACUGAGACACGGUCCAGACUCCUACGGGAGGCAGCAGUGGGGAAUAUUGGACAAUGGGCGCAAGCCUGAUCCAGCCAUACCGCGUGGGUGAAGAAGGCCUUCGGGUUGUAAAGCCCUUUUAUUGGGAAAGAAAAGCAGCAGGUUAAUACCCCGCUGUUCUGACGGUACCCAAAGAAUAAGCACCGGCUAACUUCGUG